GAUGAACGCUAGCGGCAGGCCUAAUACAUGCAAGUCGAACGGGGGUAGCAAUGCCCCAGUGGCGCACGGGUGCGUAACGCGUAGGCAAUCUGCCUAUCUCUGGGGGAUAGCCCGCCGAAAGGUGGAUUAAUACCGCAUAACACUGCAGGGUGGCAUCACCUAACAGUUAAAGAAUUUCGGAGAUAGAUGAGCCUGCGUGCCAUUAGCUAGUUGGUGCGGUAACGGCGCACCAAGGCGACGAUGGCUAGGGGAGCGGAGAGGAUGAUCCGCCACACUGGGACUGAGACACGGCCCAGACUCCUACGGGAGGCAGCAGUGGGGAAUUUUGGACAAUGGGCGAAAGCCUGAUCCAGCAAUGCCGCGUGCAGGAUGAAGGCCUUCGGGUUGUAAACUGCUUUUGUACGGAGCGAAAAGGCUUUCUCUAAUACAGGGGGCUCAUGACGGUACCGUAAGAAUAAGCACCGGCUAACUA
rnacentral:rRNA from 1 species